AAAGCGUGCGCAGGCGGUUUUGUAAGUCUGUCGUGAAAUCCCCGGGCUCAACCUGGGAAUGGCGAUGGAGACUGCAAGGCUAGAGUUUGGCAGAGGGGGGUAGAAUUCCACGUGUAGCAGUGAAAUGCGUAGAGAUGUGGAGGAACACCGAUGGCGAAGGCAGCCCCCUGGGUCAAAACUGACGCUCAUGCACGAAAGCGUGGGGAGCAAACAGGAUUAGAUACCCUGGU
rnacentral:rRNA from 1 species